CAUGGAGGAGAGACGCCAAAUACUGAAAAGCAUUCAAAUUUAUCUUCUCAGCAAACUGUUGGAGGUUUCUCAAAGCAUGGAAACCAUCAUGGGCCUAGUCAUUCACGAUAUAUUAAUGGACGGAAUCCAUGGAAUCUAGAAGGGAGGGCAUUGUCAGCAUUGAGUAGGUUUGGAGAAAAUGCUAGAAUGGUAUCUGACCGGGUAUGGUUGGGGAGGGGUCAACAU
rnacentral:misc_RNA from 1 species